AUCAUAAAGACUAAGUUAAGAAAGAUUAAAAUUUCAAAUGCUGUUAAGCAGCACAACUAUUUUCAACAUUGAUUAUAUUAAUACAUAUCAGCACAAAAUCAGCAUAUUAGACUGAUUUCUGGAGGAUUGUGGACACUGAAGACUGGAGUAAUGAUGCUGAAAUUUCAGCUUUGAGGUCACAGGAUUAAAUUACAUUUUAAAAUGUAUUCAAAUUGAAUAUUUCACAAUAUUACUGUUUUUACUCAUAUGAGACUUCUUUCAUAAACAUUUUUAAAAAUCUUGCCAACCUCCAACUUUUGAACGGUACACUAUUCUUCAUUUCAAAGUUAUACAGCAAAUCGGAUGAGUCUAGCCAUUUAGAAAAUAAAAAUUAACUUCAGUUGAGAAUUUAGAUGAGAACCUGUGAAUACUCUUAGAUCACAUUAGCUUAAGACAGUCUCAACAUAUUCCUCCAUUCAUAUUAGCACAGCAGGAUCCACUGAACUGUUGCAAGAAUGGUAAUAGUGACUCACAAAAUCCCAUCGCACCCCUUUGAAACCGAAUUCGCUUUUCUCUUGUACUUCAUGAAAUAUUAAGCAAACUCCCAUUACAACUGUAUGCAUCUGAAUGAACUGACCUCACUUGUCUGAGGAUUUUAUCAAAGCAAAUCCACAACCUCUUUGCAUUAGCCACACCAAGCCGUAAUAUUUGUUUCUGAUAUUUUAUAGCCAUUUUAGUGUCUCAUCAGUAUUACUUUAAAGUUGUUGUUUGUUUUUUAUUGCAAGGUCAAAAUAUAUUUUCUUAUUUAGAUAUUGUGGUUCAUCAGUGCCUGUGUCUGUUGAGAAAGCAUUCAGAAUUAUUACAGGAUACGACUCAACACAGUGGAAGAAGAGAGUUUUUCUAUAUAAAGGUGAAUAUGUAUAGUUCUGAAAAUGUAGUUGUCACAUACCAAAGCCAAAUGCAUUAUAUUGUCGAUUUUUUUAAAACUGUAUCGUAAGUUAUAUUAUUUGUAUCUCCUUUUUUCUUAAUAUGUAGAACUAUCUCAAAUUAAUUAAGAUUAAAAAAAAUAAUUAAAGAUUAAAAAGACAAUUGGCCAAUAACAAAAUCUAUGAGGAAGAAAACAACCAUGUGACUACCUAAUACUGUUGAGGUGAGGUUUGCACAUAAAGGUAAUCUUUCUAAAUAAAACUUUUCAGAUCUCA